rnacentral:rRNA from 1 species
UACGUAGGGGGCAAGCGUUGUCCGGAAUUAUUGGGCGUAAAGCGUGUGUAGGCGGAUCGUUAAGUGCCUUGUGAAAUCCCACGGCUCAACCGUGGAACUGCUUGGCAUACUGGCGGUCUUGAGCAACCUAGGGGCGAGCGGAACAAAUGGUGGAGCGGUGAAAUGCGUAGAUAUCAUUUGGAACGCCAAUGGUGAAAACAGCUCGCUGGGGGUUUGCUGACGCUGAGACACGAAAGCCAGGGGAGCAAACGGG